rnacentral:rRNA from 1 species
GAUGAACGCUGGCGGCGUGCCUAAUACAUGCAAGUCGAGCGAACGGACGAGAAGCUUGCUUCUCUGAUGUUAGCGGCGGACGGGUGAGUAACACGUGGAUAACCUACCUAUAAGACUGGGAUAACUUCGGGAAACCGGAGCUAAUACCGGAUAAUAUUUUGAACCGCAUGGUUCAAAAGUGAAAGACGGUCUUGCUGUCACUUAUAGAUGGAUCCGCGCCGCAUUAGCUAGUUGGUAAGGUAACGGCUUACCAAGGCAACGAUGCGUAGCCGACCUGAGAGGGUGAUCGGCCACACUGGAACUGAGACACGGUCCAGACUCCUACGGGAGGCAGCAGUAGGGAAUCUUCCGCAAUGGGCGAAAGCCUGACGGAGCAACGCCGCGUGAGUGAUGAAGGUCUUCGGAUCGUAAAACUCUGUUAUUAGGGAAGAACAAAUGUGUAAGUAACUAUGCACGUCUUGACGGUACCUAAUCAGAAAGCCACGGCUAACUACGUG